rnacentral:rRNA from 1 species
GGUGGGUACGGGCAGACUAGAGUGAUGUAGGGGAGACUGGAAUUCCUGGUGUAGCGGUGAAAUGCGCAGAUAUCAGGAGGAACACCGAUGGCGAAGGCAGGUCUCUGGGCAUUAACUGACGCUGAGGAGCGAAAGCAUGGGGAGCGAACAGGAUUAGAUACCCUGGUAGUCCAUGCCGUAAACGUUGGGCACUAGGUGUGGGGGACAUUCCACGUUUUCCGCGCCGUAGCUAACGCAUUAAGUGCCCCGCCUGGGGAGUACGGCCGCAAGGCUAAAACUCAAAGGAAUUGACGGGGGCCCGCACAAGCGGCGGAGCAUGCGGAUUAAUUCGAUGCAACGCGAAGAACCUUACCAAGGCUUGACAUGGACCGGAUCGCUGCAGAAAUGUGGUUUCUCCUUUUGGGGCCGGUUCACAGGUGGUGCAUGGUUGUCGUCAGCUCGUGUCGUGAGAUGUUGGGUUAAGUCCCGCAACGAGCGCAACCCUCGUUCCAUGUUGCCAGCACGUGAUGGUGGGGACUCAUGGGAGACUGCCGGGGUCAACUCGGAGGAAGGUGGGGACGACGUCAAAUCAUCAUGCCCCUUAUGUCUUGGGCUUCACGCAUGCUACAAUGGCCGGUACAAAGGGUUGCGAUACUGUGAGGUGGAGCUAAUCCCAAAAAGCCGGUCUCAGUUCGGAUUGGGGUCUGCAACUCGACCCCAUGAAGUCGGAGUCGCUAGUAAUCGCAGAUCAGCAACGCUGCGGUGAAUACGUUCCCGGGCCUUGUACACACCGCCCGUCAAGUCACGAAAGUUGGUAACACCCGAAGCCGGUGGCCUAACCCCUUGUGGGAGGGAGCCGUCGAAGGUGGGACUGGCGAUUGGGACUAAGUCGUAACAAGGUAACC